ensembl:lncRNA
GGGACGGCAAGCCGCUCCAGCAUUCUUGCCACAAGAACCCCUUGAACAGUAUGAAAAGGCAAAAAGAUAUGACACCGGAAGAUGAGUCCCCAGGCCUGGAAGAGCUGACUCGUUGGAAAAGACCCUGAUGCUGGGGAAGGUUGAAGGUGUCUCCUGAGCACGUUUGGUUCUGAGCUGGGAAGGCCACAGAGGUGGAGGCCUGGCUCCUGUAUCGGGGUGAAUGGAGAUAGGGAAGUGGAGGCCCAGAGAGGUCAAGGAGCUUGCCCAAGGUCAGCCAGCUCUGGGCCCCUCCAAGCCUUCCCAGCCUCUUCUGUCCAAUGCGUGUUGUGCUCCUGACCUGCUGUUUCUACUCGGUGGGGAUAAG